rnacentral:rRNA from 1 species
UACAGAGGUCCCAAGCGUUGUUCGGAUUCAUUGGGCGUAAAGGGUGUGUAGGUGGCGCCGUAAGUCGGGUGUGAAAUCUCGGGGCUUAACUCCGAAACUGCAUUCGAUACUGCGGUGCUUGAGGACUGGAGAGGAGACUGGAAUUCAUGGUGUAGCAGUGAAAUGCGCAGAUAUCAGGAAGAACACCCGUGGCGAAGGCGGUUCUCUGGGACGGUACUGACGCUGAGACGCGAAAGCGUGGGGAGCGAACAGG